rnacentral:rRNA from 1 species
GUGCCACCAGCCGCAGUGAUACGUACGUGGCAUGCGUUAUCCAGAAUUAUUGAGCGUACAGCGCGCGUAGCGGUUUUUUAAGUCUGAUGUGAAAGCCCACGGCUCAACCGUGGAGGGUCAUUGGAAACUGGAAAACUUGAGUGCAGAAGAGGAAAGUGGAAUUCCAUGUGUAGCGGUGAAAUGCGCAGAGAUAUGGAGGAACACCAGUGGCGAAGGCGACUUUCUGGUCUGUAACUGACGCUGAUGUGCGAAAGCGUGGGGAUCAAACAGGAUUAGAUACCCUGGUAGUCC